rnacentral:misc_RNA from 1 species
UUUCCGUAGGUGAACCUGCGGAAGGAUCAUUACUGAGUUAGGGUCUUUAUGGCCCGACCUCCAACCCUUUGUUUAAUCUACCAUGUUGCUUUGGCAGGCCCGCUUAGAAAUGGGCCGCCGGAGACCUUUGAGUCUCUGGUCAGUGCCUGCCAGUAGCCUUUCUAAAUUCAUUUAUAACCGUGUCUGAAUAUAUAAAGAAAAAUUAAAAUAAAACUUUCAACAACGGAUCUCUUGGUUCUG